rnacentral:rRNA from 1 species
UACGUAGGGUGCAAGCGUUGUCCGGAAUUAUUGGGCGUAAAGAGCUCGUAGGCGGUCUGUCGCGUCGGCUGUGAAAACUCGUGGCUCAACUCCGAGCUUGCAGUCGAUACGGGCAGGCUAGAGUUCGGCAGGGGAGACUGGAAUUCCUGGUGUAGCGGUGAAAUGCGCAGAUAUCAGGAGGAACACCGGUGGCGAAGGCGGGUCUCUGGGCCACUACUGACGCUGAGAAGCGAAAGCAUGGGGAGCAAACAGG